CCUCCGGCUUGUGGGCUUCGGUGUGGGGAGGAUUGUUAUUUGGGGCCCACGAGUGUUCCGCUUUCUCAUAUUCCCACGAGAAGGUUCAGCUGACCGCAGUUUAGGACCCAGCCGCAAAGCCGGGUUCAUUCUGGGGAGUGAUUUUCUUCACCGAGGCUCGAUACGCAGGCGCCCUGUGCAGGGAACGGCUUCUGCUGAAGUGCAGCGGUAUUUAAAACAGCGGAAAUGUGCAGGAGACAGGGUCUCGCUAUGUUGCCCAAGCUGGAGGAAGUGGAAUUCCUGAGAGCAGCAGAGAUCGAGCUUGGGGUUACGGUUUGCUGCGUCUGAGCUAAAGGACCUGCGAGAACAGGCCGGGCGUGGUGGCUCACGCCUGUAAUUCCAGCACUUUGGGAGGUCGAGGCGGGCAGAUCACCUGAGUUCCAGACCAGCCUGGCCAACAUGGUGAAACCCCGUCUCUACUAAAAAAUACAAAAAUUAGCCGGGCGUGGUGGCGUGCACCUGUAAUCCCAGCUACUCCGGAGGCUGAGGCAAGAGAAUUGCUGGAACCCAGGAGGCAGAGGUUGCAGUGAGCAGAGAUGGCAGCGCUGCACUCCAGCCUAGGUGACAGAGCUAGACUCUAUCUCAAAAAAAAAAAAAAAAAAAAAAGGACCUGCGAGAACAAAGUGUUACCUGGGGAGGUUGUGUUUUAAGUCAACAGAGUGUGUGUAACUGCAAUAGGUUCCUUGCCCAAUGCACAUAGCAAGUCUAUAUGCUGAGACACCAGGUUGCAGCAGAGAAAGAGGUCUAAUCAUACGGCUACCUAAGGAGGAGACAGGAAGAAGCCUCACAUCUAUCUCCCCUAGGAAUUUGGGGUUGGGGUUUGUAAGGGUAAUGGAGAUGACUGAUUGGUGGGAGAGUGCUGGGUGAAAUGAUGGUACAAGGAGAUGAGGAAACUACAUUCUCAUGCUCUUGCCAUUCCUCUGUGGGGGGUCUUCAAACUGCUUGAAAUCAACUGUUUCACUGGAAUUCGUGGUCUGAAAAACAUCUUAAGCGAUCCUUAAACAAAAGCCUUAUGAUUCUAAUGUCAGAGAUCCUGUCUACAGGAACAACAGGGAUGCAAAUCAAUGCUUAGUCUGAAGUCUGAAAUCCUAUCUAUAGGAACAAUAGACAUGCAAAUGUCAGUAUCUAGUGCCUUGUGACUAUUAGCAACAAGGAAGUAGGCCAAAGUGCAGCCUGAUUAAUGCUUAAUUAUAACUAUAUUUCUGUCCAGAACCUGCAUGCAGUUUUUGUCAACCCUGUAGGGGCAGUUUCAUGUGUGUCUUGAUAGGAUAAGCGCAGGCCCUGGUUUUCCAGUAAGUCUUCGUUUCAAACGUGGAUGAAUCAAACCCUGCCAAACCUGUAUUUCAACACAUGAAUGAGUCAAUGCCCGUAACAGUAUAACUAUCUGUAAAUCACAAAAGUAUGAGAACUAUCCUGUUGGGGCAACUACUCUUGAGCAGACUAAGUUACUUUUAGCCUGGGGCUACAUAUGCAGUCUGUAAUUUGGGAUUUACCUGAAUAUACAUAUUGGUCAGAUGGUGAAUGUUUAAUAAUGAAAAUUACCAUUCUUUGAAUCACAAUAUGACCAGGUUACAAAAAAAUAAUAAUCUGAAUUUUCUUGGAAGGAAAA
ensembl:lncRNA